GAAGAGAGAGUUCAAGAGUACGUGAAACCGCAUAGAGUCAAACUGGUGGAUCCGCAGAGUCCGCGCGGGGAAUUCAGCUCGGCAGGCGGGGCCGUGCGCCGGCCGAGAUUCGUCUCGGACCUGGCUGGCGCGCUGCGUACUCGCAGGCAGGGUGCACUUUCCCCGGCUAGCGGAAGGCCACGACCGGUUCGGUGGCGGUCAGGAGCCCGGAGCGGGAGGUAGCCGUGAUCGGUUCACGCCGAUUGCGGAACGUACAGCCCUCCGAGGUGGACUCGCCGCUGGACCGAGGAUGCCGCGGUGGCCUCACGCCGCGGGCCGUCCGGGAGCGUUCGACUUUGGCCACGCUGCUCGCAGCCGGCCGAGACCGCGCUUCUGGUACGGGCUCGCGAACGGGGGCCGCCUAGGGUCAGUGGCGAAUCGGUCGGCAACCCACCAGACCCGUCUUGAAACACGGACCAAGGAGUCUAGCAUGUGCGCGAGUCACGGGGUCUCUCGAAACCCAAGGGCGCAAUGAAAGUGAAGGCCGCCUCCGGCUGGCCCAGGCAAGAUCCCGAGACGUUCGCGUCGAGGGCGCACUGCCGGCCCGUCUCGCUGGCAUCGACCACGAGGCGGAGCAAGAGCGCACACGCUGGGACCCGAAAGAUGGUGAACUAUGCCUGAGUAGGACGAAG
rnacentral:rRNA from 1 species